GACGAACGCUGGCGGCGUGCUUAACACAUGCAAGUCGAACGGAAAGGCCCUGCUUUUGUGGGGUGCUCGAGUGGCGAACGGGUGAGUAACACGUGAGUAACCUGCCCUUGACUUUGGGAUAACUUCAGGAAACUGGGGCUAAUACCGGAUAGGAGCUCCUGCUGCAUGGUGGGGGUUGGAAAGUUUCGGCGGUUGGGGAUGGACUCGCGGCUUAUCAGCUUGUUGGUGGGGUAGUGGCUUACCAAGGCUUUGACGGGUAGCCGGCCUGAGAGGGUGACCGGCCACAUUGGGACUGAGAUACGGCCCAGACUCCAACGGGAGGCAGCAGUGGGGAAUAUUGCACAAUGGGCGGAAGCCUGAUGCAGGAACGCCGCGUGCGGGAUGACGGCCUUCGGGUUGUAAACCGCUUUCGCCUGUGACGAAGCGUGAGUGACGGUAAUGGGUAAAGAAGCACCGGCUAACUACGUG
rnacentral:rRNA from 1 species